rnacentral:rRNA from 1 species
GGAGCGUAACGCGUAUGCAAUCUACCUUUUACAGAGGGAUAGCCCAGAGAAAUUUGGAUUAAUACCUCAUAGUAUAGCUCUACCGCAUGGUAGUACUAUUAAAGUCACAACGGUAAAAGAUGAGCAUGCGUCCCAUUAGCUAGUUGGUAAGGUAACGGCUUACCAAGGCUACGAUGGGUAGGGGUCCUGAGAGGGAGAUCCCCCACACUGGUACUGAGACACGGACCAGACUCCUACGGGAGGCAGCAGUGAGGAAUAUUGGACAAUGGGCGCAAGCCUGAUCCAGCCAUGCCGCGUGCAGGAUGACGGUCCUAUGGAUUGUAAACUGCUUUUAUACGAGAAGAAACACUGCUUCGUGAAGCAGCUUGACGGUAUCGUAAGAAUAAGGAUCGGCUAACUCCGUGCCAGCAGCCGCGGUAAUACGGAGGAUCCAAGCGUUAUCCGGAAUCAUUGGGUUUAAAGGGUCCGUAGGCGGUUUAAUAAGUCAGUGGUGAAAGCCCAUCGCUCAACGGUGGAACGGCCAUUGAUACUGUUAAACUUGAAUUAUUAGGAAGUAACUAGAAUAUGUAGUGUAGCGGUGAAAUGCUUAGAGAUUACAUGGAAUACCAAUUGCGAAGGCAGGUUACUACUAAUGGAUUGACGCUGAUGGACGAAAGCGUGGGUAGCGAACAGGAUUAGAUACCCUGGUAGUCCACGCCGUANACGAUGGAUACUAGCUGUUGGAAGCAAUUUCAGUGGCUAAGCGAAAGUGAUAAGUAUCCCACCUGGGGAGU